GACGAACCACACAAACGUUAUUCGGAAUUACUGGGCUUAAAGGGUGCGUAGGCGGCGCGGAAAGUAGGGUGUGAAAUCCCUCGGCUCAACCGAGGAAUUGCGCCCUAAACUACCGUGCUCGAGGGAGAUAGAGGUGAGCGGAACUUAGGGUGGAGCGGUGAAAUGCGUUGAUAUCCUAAGGAACACCGGUGGCGAAAGCGGCUCACUGGAUCUCUUCUGACGCUGAGGCGCGAAAGCUAGGGGAGCAAACAGG
rnacentral:rRNA from 1 species